rnacentral:rRNA from 1 species
CUCGAGUGCAUGAAGCUGGAAUCGCUAGUAAUCGCGGAUCAGAAUGCCGCGGUGAAUACGUUCCCGGGUCUUGUACACACCGCCCGUCACACCAUGGGAGUCGGGAAUGCCCGAAGCCGGUGGCCCGAUCGAAAGAAGGGAGCCGUCGAAGGCAGGCCGGAUGACUGGGGUGAAGUCGUAACAAGGUACC